rnacentral:tRNA from 1 species
GCCCGGGUGGCGAAAUGGUAAACGUUGCUGACUUAAAAUCAGCUGCCAGAAAUGGCUUGUGGGUUCGAUUCCCACCCUGGGCA